UGUGAUGACAAAUUUACCCAGCUCGCUUUGAUUUACAGUGAAGAAAACUGUUCCAUAUCCAACGCAAAACUAAAUUGCUGAU
rnacentral:snoRNA from 1 species